rnacentral:snRNA from 1 species
GGAUGUGAGGGCAAUCUGGCUGCAACAUCUGUCACCCCACUGAUCGCCAGGGUUGAUUCGGCUGAUCUGGCUGGCUAGGUGGGUGUCCCCUUCCUCCCUCAUGGCUCCAUGUGCAUCCUUCAGGAAACUGCGCACUUGGUCUAAGAGGACCGCCUUCCCCAGGACGGCCUUCCCCAAAUAGAGAAGACUGGUCUUUAGUCGAGGGUAUAGGAGUAGCUGCACUCCCCUACUAGAACCUCCAAACACGCUCUCAAGAAUGCACUCACUGCCACUGAUCUAUACACUUAAAAUGGUUAAAAUGAUGGGUUUUAAGAUACAAGUAUUUAGCCACAAAAAUAAGGAAAAAUCAAGAGAAAAAAGUCCAUGUUU